rnacentral:rRNA from 1 species
GACAGAGGGUGCAAACGUUGCUCGGAAUCACUGGGCGUAAAGGGCGUGUAGGCGGGAAGCUAAGUCAGGUGUGAAAUCCCCAGGCUCAACCUGGGAACUGCACUUGAAACUGUCUUUCUUGAGUGUCGGAGAGGAGAGUGGAAUUCCUGGUGUAGAGGUGAAAUUCGUAGAUAUCAGGAGGAACACCGGUGGCGAAGGCGGCUUUCUGGACGACAACUGACGCUGAGACGCGAAAGCGUGGGGAGCAAACAGG